rnacentral:misc_RNA from 1 species
UUUCUUCUUCCACAUUUCUCUCAAUUCUUGAUUUCUCUGUAAAUUCACCAAAAAUUCAUCCAUGGCGAUUCUUCUUCCAUCUUCAAAAUCACCAUAACCCAUUUCUCCAUUCAUUAUGGAGCUCUACUUAAGCGAUUACACUCUCAAUUUCCCCUCAAAUACUAAAAAAUCCCCACACUUACUCUUCUCCAAAACCCCAAAUUACUUCCGCCGGCGCCGGCGCCGGAAUCGGAGUUGUAAGACCCAGAUAUCCUCCUCCGCGAGGGUUUCAGCAGUGGUGGCGGCGCCGGAACAGUCCGGCGGGAAAAUGGUAGUGGAGUUAGUGGGUGCUUUUAAUGAGCUAACUGAAAGAAUGGAUACUAGUGUUCUUUCUACUAGCUCUUCUCGAUUGCUGUUUAAAACUCUUAAAUUGUGUAUUCCGAUUCUUCAGUCACUUCCACUUGCACCCGAUGGCCGAUCUCCGAUAUCG